AGAGUUUGAUCAUGGCUCAGGAUGAACGCUGGCGGCGUGCCUAAUACAUGCAAGUCGAACGGGAGAUGUAGCGAUAUGUCUCCAGUGGCGAACGGGUGAGUAACGCGUUGGUGACCUGCCCCGAAGAGCGGGAUAACAGACCGAAAGGACUGCUAAUACCGCAUGAGCUCUCGGCAGUUAGAGGGGCCGAGAGGAAAGGCCGAAAGGCGCUUUGGGAGGGGCCUGCGUCCCAUCAGCUAGUUGGCGAGGUAAGAGCUCACCAAGGCGAUGACGGGUAGGGGACCUGAGAGGGUGACCCCCCACAAUGGAACUGAAACACGGUCCAUACACCUACGGGUGGCAGCAGUCAGGAAU
rnacentral:rRNA from 1 species